rnacentral:rRNA from 1 species
UAGGGAAUCUUCGGCAAUGGACGAAAGUCUGACCGAGCAACGCCGCGUGAGUGAAGAAGGUUUUCGGAUCGUAAAACUCUGUUGGCAGAGAAGAACGUUGGUGAGAGUGGAAAGCUCAUCAAGUGACGGUAACUACCCAGAAAGGGACGGCUAACUACGUGCCAG